AGCUUGGGAAUGCCUUGGAGUGGGGAUAACCAAUGGAAACGUGGCUAAUACCGCAUACGCCCUAAGGGGGAAAGAUUUAUCGCUCCGAGAUGUGCCCGCGUCGGAUUAGGUAGUUGGUGAGUAAUGGCUCACCAAGCCGACGAUCCGUAGCUGGUCUGAGAGGAUGAUCAGCCACACUGGGACUGAGACACGGCCCAGACUCUACGGGAGGCAGCAGUGGGGAAUAUUGGACAAUGGGCGCAAGCCUGAUCCAGCCAUGCCGCGUGAGUGAAGAAGGCCUUCGGGUUGUAAAGCUCUUUCAGAGGUGACGAUGAUGACGGUAACCUCAGAAGAAGCCCCGGCUAACUUCGUGCCAGCAGCCGCGGUAAUACGAAGGGGGCUAGCGUUGUUCGGAAUUACUGGGCGUAAAGCGCGCGUAGGCGGUGUGCAUAGUCAGGGGUGAAAUCCCGGGGCUCAACCUCGGAAUUGCCUUUGAUACUGGCACGCUUGAAUCCGUGAGAGGGUGGUGGAAUGGCCAGUGUAGAGGUGAAAUUCGUAGAUAUUGGCCGGAACACCAGUGGCGAAGGCGGCCACCUGGCGCGGUAUUGACGCUGAGGCGCGAAAGCGUGGGGAGCAAACAGGAUUAGAUACCCUGGUAGUC
rnacentral:rRNA from 1 species